AAACACUCUGGAGAGAGGCGUGGAAACUGCGUCCGCCGAAGGGAUAACGAUCUCAGGCAAAAAGACAGAGGGGG
rnacentral:ncRNA from 1 species